rnacentral:rRNA from 1 species
UACGUAGGGGGCAAGCGUUGUCCGGAGUUACUGGGCGUAAAGCGCACGCAGGCGGUCUCUUAAGUUUGGAGUGACAGUUGGUGGCUUAACUGCCAAAGUGCUUCGAAAACUGAGAGACUUGAGGGCUUCAGAGGGACACGGAAUUCCGGGUGGAGUGGUGAAAUGCGUAGAUAUCAGGAGGAACACCUGUGGUGUAGACAGCUUACUGGACCACUUCUGACGCUGAGGCACGAAAGCGUGGGGAGCAAACAGG